rnacentral:lncRNA from 1 species
UCAGACCCAUCUGGAUCGUCCGAUACCACCCAGGCCCAUUCCUCUGAUCCCGCUCUGCCCCGUAAAAGCUUACGCUUGGGCCUUAAAAAUAUCCAGGCUCCCCUCCGAAUCUUGCAUACUGGGGGCCAAGACAGGGGUCCCACUUGGAGCUAUAAACCCUGGACUCGUACAGAACUCCUUUCAGUUGUAAAAGGCUUUCCAAAGCCCCGGGAAAAUCCUACCAAAUUCGCAGAGGAAUUUUUGUUAGUAUGUGACACCUAUGAACCCUCUGAGGCAGACCUCCUGCAGCUGUGCAAGCUACUUACCCCUAGUGAGCAUGAAAAAUGGCUCACAGCAGCAAAUUGGCUCGCAGCUGACCACCACUCUACUUUACCAGACACUGGUCCUAAUGCUGAAUACCGGAAAAGGUGUAAGGAGCGAGCUAAAAAUCUAUUUGAAGCCAUCCCUCGGGUAUGGACUCCUAAAACUAACUGGACGGUCAUAAACGGCUGUAAGCAACGACAGGGAGAAAACCCGGGUGACUAUCGUUCCCGGUUAACUGACAUUUUUCUGCAACAUUCUGGUAUACAGCAACCGGAUAAAAAUGGACAGGGCACCCUGGCUAAUGCGUUUGUUAAUGGUCUCCUACCUGCUGUUGGUAAUAUGCUAAAACGAAUAAGUGUUGGGUGGGAGUCCGAAACCAUGGACAAAUUGCAAACAGUGGCAGAGCACUGCCAACGUACUUUAAAAGGAAAGGAGGAACAAUCAGCUCAACAGUUAAUGGCCCUGCAAAUACAGCAUUAUUCAGGACAGGGCAAACAGUACCAGGGACGGGGAAAAUACCAGGGACGGGGACGUGGUCGAGGGAGGGGCCGAGGAACUGGAUUUUCGGGUUAUGGGGAUGUUUGUAAUUACUGUAAGCAGCGCGGACAUUGGAAGAACGAAUGUCCGAGCAGGCCUAAUAACUCUGUAAAUAACCAGCUAGACCCCCUGCCGGCACAGCCAGUCAGUCCCCAGCCUUACUUUGUCCCACAGCAAUGACGGGAUGCCAGGGAACCUCAGGAAAUUUUAGCUCCUUUACUACCUCUCACUCCCACGGGUGAGUGUGUGUUAACUAUCAAUGAUUUGUCUCUCCCUUUCCUUGUUGAUACGGGAGCUUCACUCUCUGCAGUUCGUACUACUGACCUGCCUGC